CAGCAGCCGCGGGAACACGUAGGGUGCGAGCGUUAAUCGGAAUUACUGGGCGUAAAGCGUGCGCAGGCGGUUCGUUAAGACAGAUGUGAAAUCCCCGGGCUUAACCUGGGAACUGCAUUUGUGACUGACGGGCUAGAGUAUGGCAGAGGGGGGUAGAAUUCCACGUGUAGCAGUGAAAUGCGUAGAGAUGUGGAGGAAUACCGAUGGCGAAGGCAGCCCCCUGGGCCAAUACUGACGCUCAUGCACGAAAGCGUGGGGAGCAAACAGGAUUAGAUACCCCGGUAGUCCCUGUCUCUUAUAC
rnacentral:rRNA from 1 species